rnacentral:rRNA from 1 species
GAUGAACGCUAGCUACAGGCUUAACACAUGCAAGUCGAGGGGAAACGCCAUUGAAGCUUGCUUCGAUGGUCGUCGACCGGCGCACGGGUGAGUAACGCGUAUCCAACCUGCCUCUGACCAAGGGAUAACCCGUCGAAAGUCGGCCUAAUACCUUAUGCAGUCGUCGGAAGUCAUCUGAUGACGACGAAAGAUUUCAUCGGUGAGAGAUGGGGAUGCGUCUGAUUAGCUUGUUGGCGGGGUAACGGCCCACCAAGGCCACGUACAGGAGGGGUUCUGAGAGGAAGGCCCCCCACAUCGGAGCUGCGACCCGGUCCAAACUGCUACGGGAGGCAGCAGUGAGGAAUAUUGGUGAAUGGGCGAGAGCCUGAACCAGCCAAGUAGCGUGCAGGAGGACGGCCCUAGGGGUUGUAAACUGCUUUUGUGCGGGGAUAAAGUAAGGGACGUGUCAUUCAUUGCAGGUGCCGAAUGAAUAAGGACCGGCUAAUUCCGUG